GACGAACGCUGGCGGCGUGCUUAACACAUGCAAGUCGAACGAUGAAGCCGGAGCUUGCUCUGGUGAAUUAGUGGCGAAAGGGUGAGUAACACGUGAGUAACCUGCCCUUGACUCUGGGAUAACUGCGGGAAAAUGUAGCUAAUACCGGAUACGACCCUGGGAGGCAUCCACUGGGGGUGGAAAGAAGUUCGGUCAAGGAUGGACUAGCGGCCUAUCAGCUAGUUGGUGAGGUAAAGGCUCACCAAGGCGACGACGGGUAGCCGGCCUGAGAGGGUGACCGGCCACACUGGGACUGAGACACGGCCCAGACUCCUACGGGAGGCAGCAGUGUGGAAUAUUGCACAAUGGGCGCAAGCCUGAUGCAGCAACGCCGCGUGAGGGAUGACGGCCUUCGGGUUGUAAACCGCUUUCAGCAGGGAAGAAGCCGCAAGGUGACGGUACCUGCAGAAGAAGCACCGGCUAACUACGUGCCAGCAGCCGCUGUAA
rnacentral:rRNA from 1 species